GAAAUAAAAAUACGUUUAAGUUAAUAAACGCACAGGAAGUGCAGACUGUCAUUGUUAUCACUGAGCAGAGAUUUCGUAACUGGAGUAAAGAUGGCCCCGAGUUUGAACCGGCCUAGAUCACCAUACGGCAAAUGCGACAUGUUUCUUUAAGAGUAACCCAGUAUUAAGUUACAGAAAAAUCCCAAAUGUCUGGACCGAAACCAAAAGGAUCCAGACAUCUGGCUCUCCAGAUACUUAUUAACAGUUGCUGGAUGCGGGAAUGUGUGAGGCUUUCAACAAGCCCGUGACUACAAGACAGUUCGUGCCUUUGUUCUGUUCCCGGUUUCCAGCUUUUGGAAGAUGGUAGUACACGAUUUUUAAGAACAAAUACAAAUCACGAGUCCCCCUCCAAAUAUAACGCCAGUUUUGUGAUGAGAGUGAGACAACCAGUUUUUCUCCUCCGGAGACAGUGUGAUCAGCCUAUCCUGGAUGCAAAUUUGUCAGCAAUUAACAACAGAACACACAGUUGAUAAGAGUGUGGCUUGGCUUAUGGCCUUACAUUCUUUGCAACCUUAUCUCAAAGAACUGGCAUCUCACUGAGCCUCCGUUCAACACUCUCUCCCUCAAACAGUUCAGGUGUAAUGCCACUGGUGGGGGUCAGGGAAACAAACAUCUGCAUGUGUGAAAACCCCACGAGUCUGUCUGUGGACCUUUGCCACAGAUGCACGGAGCAUACCGUCAUAGACAAAGCGUCUAAAAGACUUAUUCACAUGAUGUUUAUCAAAGCUAUGGUACAGUAUAUUACAGGUUAGUGCAAUACAGUAUACACUUAUACAGUAUAGUGCAAUACCUACUGCUAUGUGCAUGUAAAAGACAGCAACAUGUAAAUUCAUAUUUAGAUAUGCUACUUAUACACACUCAUGUGUUCAACAUUUAAAGUCACUAUUUUUACAUUUUAUUUUUCAUAAUGCUACUACCUCUACAAACACGUUCAAUAUGAAAAAUCAUUAUUUUUACAUUUUAUUUUUCAGAUUUAGACUACUACCUCAACAAAACCAUAUCCAUUUAAACAAUUUCAUUUGCACAUUCCUGUAUAAAAACUCUGCGUACAUACAGUAUACUAUUCAUCUUUAUAUUCAACUAUACAAUACUGAAAUACAGCAGCUAGACACAGAAUUACAGGAUAUAUAAUCAGAGGCCAAGUGUGUGUGUGUGUGUGUGUGUGUGUGUGUGUGUGUGUGUGUGUGUGUGUGUAAACACAUCUGGGCAAUAACAAUGUGAUUUCUAAUGGUAUCAGAUGUUAAUACCAUGGUACAUUUUCAUAUACAAUUACCAUAUUUAUGUACCAUUCUGUAUUUACAUGGUGCUUCAAAGUAUUUCAAAGAAUACCAUGUUAAAUUUAUAUAUGAUUACCAUAUUCAUAUACUAUUGUAUUUACAUGGUGCUUCAAGGUAAUUAAAAAAUACCAUGGUACUUCGCUAUAUGAUUACCAUAUUCAUGUAGCCUAUCAUUGUUUUCACAUAGUGCGUCCGGGUAAUGGUACAUGUCCAAAAAAACAUGGCCAUGAUACGUGUUUUGAUACUCUUUUGGUUGAAAAAUGUAUUUACCUGCAGAAGUGUUCACAAGCUGCAAACGUGUUGAACUUAAUAAAGACCUUCAUCACCCUGGCAAACGAUAGGACACAUUUGCAGGUUUUGUUUCCACUGAUUGUAGAUCCACUGCAACCAGCGUUAUCUUUAUUUUCCGUCUUAUAAAAUACUCCGUGAGAUUAUUGGCAAGUGAGAGCGUGCACCAAAUGAUUCAGCAGCGCGAGCGUAAACUUUCUAAGUAAUUCAGAUUGAAUCGCGAACCGAUUCAGAUUGCUUUCUAUCACGUGUGACCAAUUCAUUUUAAAGAACCGACUCAGAUGAGUGAUUCAUUUGUGAUCGGACAUCUUUAGUUUUGAUUCAAAACUGGCGAUAGUAAACACCUUGUGCAAGGUGUGAUGUAGCGUUGUAGCUUUUCUCAACGCUAAGCCGAUACCUACUCAAAAUAUAGCUUUGCUACUGAAAAGCUACUUGAUUUAAAAACUAGCGAAACUACCACCUCGCUACUCAGAAAUGUAGUUAAACUAAUAGCUUUGCUAUUGUAGCGAAGCUACUGCCCAUCACUGAAUACAAGUUAAGCUCAGUCGACAGCAUUGGUGGCAUAAUGUUGAUUACAACAAAAAUUAAUUUCAAUUUAUCCCUCCUUUUAAUAAAAGCAAAAAUCGAGGUUACAGUAAGAAACUUACAAUGGAAGUCAAUGGGACCAAUUUUGAUGGUUUAAAGGCAGAAAUGGGAAGCUUAUAAUUUUAUAAAAGCACUUACAUGAAUUCUUCUGUUAAAACUCAUGUAUUAUUUGAGCUGUAAAGUUGUUUAAAUUGUCAUUAUUACAUUUGGUUUUAGGGUUUGUUGACGUUACAUUGUUGUGGCAAAGUUGUUAAAUUAGCUAUAACUUUGCAUAGAAAAGGUUAGUAAGAGAUUUUAUCACACUAAAAUCAUGUUCGCGCGCAUACUGUUUAUGUCUUGUGGCUAUACUUUUGAAAAAGGGAGUGUUUUAACGAUCAAAAAUUGGCCCCCAUUCACUUCCAUUUUAAGUGCCUCACUGGAACCAAGAAAAGGAGGGGCAAGUAAAAACAAUUUUUUGUGUGGUAAUCAAUAUUAUGCCACAAAUGCUGUUGAUAGAACUUGUAUUGAACCCGGAAUAUUCCUUUAAUAUUCCUUUAAUAAGUGCUCUCCGAUACCUUAUUUACAAGGAUAUUUAUUUACAGUAACAUUCAAUUAUUUUAUCCUAAAUAACUUGAACACAUUCAUUCUUCUGAAAGUGAGUCAAAUGGAUAGAACUGAUAACAAAAGGUUUUAGCUAGUGUUUCCACUCCGCCCACAAACUGAAAUGACAUUUUUCCAUCUUACGUCAGAGAGACUGUAUCAAUGUCUUUCUAGCAAGUCAGUCCACUGUUGGCCAUCUUUGAAACGCUCUCGGGAGACUAUUUCCCUUCAUGGCAGUGCAGCUCCUAUCUACUUGAAUGGAGAAAGACCAAAAUCUCGAUCAAAGAACACAUUUCAAAACAGCAAUAAAAUCUGACAAUACUGUUAUCAUAAUUUCUGAUUCUUUACCUCAUAUUACGCAAAAAAAAUAAAUAAUAAAAAUAAAAAAAAAAAUAAAAAAAACGCAAUUUUCCCGGAUCCUGUAGCUAAUACGCAUACGCGUUCUAGACUUGAUUGACAGGUAAUGUCUGUAUCUAAAUGGUGAUUGGCUCUUUUACCUGUAAGGCGGGAGUUCCUUUAUACAUCCGUUGAACGUUCAGAACUUUUUGGUUGAGCGUUACGAUUUCUUCCAUUCAUUUAAAUAGAAGUGGCCCAUCUCUGCUAAAUAAACUCUGACUGUAUGCCGCAUUCAGCCACGUACAUCCGGGUCAUUUUCACAUCCUAAUGGUAAGGUAAAUUGUCAUUUUCCACUGGCCUGACACUAUUAACUGGUCACAGAUGUUUUUUUGUUGUUGUUAAAAAACACAUUUAAGCUAUAUACCUUCACAACACUGACAGUAGCCUAAGAUCCGCGGUGACGUUUGAAAGACAUUUUUAUAUUUCAGCCUUUGAAAAAUGAUGUGUGAUGCACCCUCUGCUGACCGUCCCUUCACUCAUUCAUUUUGUACUAAUGCACUUUUUUACUUAGACUGCAGCAAUUAAAAUUGUGUGAGGUGUUUACUCGCACAUCAUGACAUUCAAAUGUUUGAUUAAUGAUCCGUUAACAGCUUAUAGAGCAGACAUCAAAUACUGACAAACCAGACUCUGCAAAUAAUGGACAUAUUUAUUGACAAUAUGUUUACAUUUACUUUGAAGUUGCCCCCAUUUUUCUUAUAUUCGGAUGAGAAUUAAGUUCUUAUUUUGUUGUGUAUUACUAGAAACCAUUAGAAAUACAUUUUGUAACAAUGUAAAAAUAAUAAUAUUGCAUUCAUCAAGCAUGAUCAAAAAUCACAAUACAUUGUGAUUUA